UGCGGGGUAGAGCAGUUUGGUAGCUCGUUGGGCUCAUAACCCGAAAGUCGGUGGUUCAAAUCCAUUUCCCGCAA
rnacentral:tRNA from 1 species